rnacentral:rRNA from 1 species
UGGAUUCGUUCAAGGUGAAAGUGGCGAACGGGUGAGUAACACGUUGGUGAUCUGCCCCGGAGUGGGGGAUAACUAUCGGAAACGAUAGCUAAUACCCCAGAUGUUAUCGUGUUUGGAAAGCGAUAACUAAAGUUCAGGCGCUCCGGGAGGAGCCUGCGUCCCAUCAGCUAGUUGGUAGGGUAAUGGCCUACCAAGGCAAAGACGGGUAGGGGGCGUGAGAGCGUGGCCCCCCACACUGGUACUGACACACGGACCAGAUGCCUACGGGUAGCAGCAGCUAGGAAUAUUGGGCAAUGGGCGAAAGCCUGACCCAGCAACACCGCGUGAAGGACGAAGGCCUUCGGGUUGUAAACUUCUUUUCGAGGGAAAGAGAAAGGACGGUACCCUCGGAAUAAGGCCCGGCUAACUACGUGCCAGCAGCCGCGGUAAUACGUAGGGGCCAAGCGUUAUCCGGAUUUACUGGGCGUAAAGCGCAUGUAGGCGGUCGAUCAAGUCGGAUGUGAAAGCUCCUGGCUUAACUGGGAGAGGUCAUUCGAAACUAGUUGGCUGGAGGGUGGUAGAGGAGAGCGGAAUUCCAGGUGUAGCGGUGAAAUGCGUAGAUAUCUGGAGGAACACCAGUGGCGAAAGCGGCUCUCUGGACCAUUCCUGACGCUGAGAUGCGAAAGCCAGGGGAGAGAACGGGAUUAGAAACCCCGGUAUUCCUGGCCGUAAACGAUGUCAACUAGGCGUAGGAGGUUAUAAACCCCUUCUGUGCUGUAGCAAACGCGUUAAGUUGACCGCCUGGGGACUACGGCCGCAAGGCUAAAACUCAAAGGAAUUGACGGGUCCCCGCACAAGCAGCGGAGCGUGUGGUUUAAUUCGAGGCUACGCGAAGAACCUUACCAGGGUUUGACAU